UACAGAGGGUGCAAGCGUUGUUCGGAAUUAUUGGGCGUAAAGGGUGCGUAGGCGGUCGGGUAAGUCUGAUGUGAAAUCUCACAGCUUAACUGUGAAACUGCAUUGGAUACUAUCCGGCUAGAGGAAUGGAGGGGAGACUGGAAUACUUGGUGUAGCAGUGAAAUGCGUAGAUAUCAAGUGGAACACCAGUGGCGAAGGCGACACGCUGGGCCGUACCUGACACUGAUGCGCGACAGCAUGGGGAGCAAACAGG
rnacentral:rRNA from 1 species